rnacentral:rRNA from 1 species
UCCGCCUGGGGAGUACGACCGCAAGGUUGAAACUCAAAGGAAUUGACGGGGGCCCGCACAAGCGGUGGAGCAUGUGGUUUAAUUCGAAGCAACGCGAAGAACCUUACCAGGUCUUGACAUCUUUUGAUCACCUGAGAGAUCAGGUUUCCCCUUCGGGGGCAAAAUGACAGGUGGUGCAUGGUUGUCGUCAGCUCGUGUCGUGAGAUGUUGGGUUAAGUCCCGCAACGAGCGCAACCCUUAUGACUAGUUGCCAGCAUUUAGUUGGGCACUCUAGUAAGACUGCCGGUGACAAACCGGAGGAAGGUGGGGAUGACGUCAAAUCAUCAUGCCCCUUAUGACCUGGGCUACACACGUGCUACAAUGGAUGGUACAACGAGUUGCGAGACCGCGAGGUCAAGCUAAUCUCUUAAAGCCAUUCUCAGUUCGGACUGUAGGCUGCAACUCGCCUACACGAAGUCGGAAUCGCUAGUAAUCGCGGAUCAGCACGCCGCGGUGAAUACGUUCCCGGGCCUUGUACACACCGCCCGUCACACCAUGAGAGUUUGUAACACCCGAAG